UGAUGGAUUUUUCUCUCUCUAAAGUUAUUCCUCUAGGAUUAGCAUAGUGUAAGGCUUCAUUUGAUGAUUUUGAUCGAGUUUAGGGAAGAGUCUGAUUUUAAGUGAAGUUUUGAUUUGGGACUUGUUUAGAUUUAAUUUUGAAUUAAAAUUAAUAUAAAAAUAUAAUUUUGGAUAAUAGUCACGGAAGAAUCUCCUAGAAGUUAGUCGAUCUGUUCAUUCAGUGCUCUGUGAAAGGUAAGUAAUGAAUCAUCUUCUCGAGAUAUUUCAUAUUUAUUCUGAAAAUAAAUAAUUAUUCUCUGAAAUUAUGCAUGAUUUAUGAAAUUAUGUUUUGAAAGAAAAGUGCUUUUGAAAUAUUAUGGUACGUCGAUUAUGCACACGUUCAGUGAAAAAUUAUGAUAUAUUAUGAUACAAAGUGUUUGAUAC
rnacentral:lncRNA from 1 species